rnacentral:rRNA from 1 species
AACUAUGACUCUCUUAAGGUAGCCAAAUGCCUCGUCAUCUAAUUAGUGACGCGCAUGAAUGGAUGAACCAAAUUCCCACUGUCCCUAUGUACUAUCUAGCGAACCCACAGCCAAGGGAACGGGCUUGGCAACAUCAGCGGGGAAAGAAGACCCUGUUGAGCUUGACUCUAGUCUGACUUUGUGAUAUGACUCUCCAAGUGUAGAAUAAGUGGGAGUUGUUUGUUGUGGUUUUCGGAUUGUGGCAACCAGCGUUGGUGAAAUACCACUAUUGGAGAAGUUGUUUUACUUAGUUAUUUAGUGAAUGAGUGGGAUGGCAUUGUUUGUUGUGGUGCAUUUCACUAUGAUGAAUGAUGUCGUGUAUCCUAUGUUUUCUUUAGUUUUCAUGUCUUGUGAAUUUCAUUCAUGAGACAGAAUUGAAAUAGCUAAAGGAGUUAGAUAGGGAGUUUGGCUGGGGCGGCACAUCUGUAACACAAGAACGCAGGUGUCCAAAGAGCAGCUCAAGGAGAACAGAAAUCUCGAGUGGAAUAUAAGGGUAAAAGCUGCUUUAAUUGUGGUUUUCAGUAAGAAUGAUGAUGGUGAAAGCGUGGCCUAGCGAUCCCUAAUGAGGUGUUGUGUGAUUAGACAGUGCAUGAUGCUGAGAAUGGUCUUUGGAAUAUAAAGCUUGGGGUGUCAGAAAAGUUACCACAGGGAUAACUGGCUUGUGGCUGCCAAGCGUUCAUAGCGACGCAGCUUUUUGAUCCUUCGAUGUCGGCUCUUCCUAUCAUUGAGAAGCAGAAUUCUCAAAGUGUCGGAUUGUUCACCCGCUAACAGGGAACGUGAGCUGGGUUUAGACCGUCGUGAGACAGGUUAGUUUUACCCUCCUGAUUUGUUUAUUGUUUAGGAAUCAUCAUAAGAGUAAUUCAACCAAGUACGAGAGGAACCGUUGAAUCAUAUCAAUGGCAUGACCGUAUUGCUGGACAGCAAGUGAUGGGAUGCUACCAUAUGACAGAUAAUGGCUGAAAGCCUCUUAAGCCAGAAUCUGUGCUUGUGACAAGUUGAUGAUGGGAUGGGGUGCGUGCAGUUUGUGCUGUUUGUGCCUUGUUUGUGGUGAGUGCAUUGUAUGGUGUGCUUGUGAUUCUAUGUAUUCAGGUGACAGCCAGAUGGGAAAGUGUGUAGUGUGAUUGCACAUGAUGGUUGUUGUGUUUGUUUGUUUGUUGAUAAUUUGUAUGGUUUGAUGCUGUAUGAAUGAGAAAAGGAAUAGUUGGACUUUUCAGGGAAUAUGUAGGCAGAUAGCCAGAAGACGACUGGUGUAUGGGACAAGGGAUUGUAAGUGGGAGAGUUAUCUGGGAAUAACGAUGCACUGAGAUUAGCCU